rnacentral:rRNA from 1 species
UACGUAGGGGGCAAGCGUUGUUCGGAAUCAUUGGGCGUAAAGAGCGCGUAGGCGGCCUGGUAAGUCCGGUGUGAAAGUCAGGGGCUCAACCCUUGGAAGCCGGUGGAUACUGUCGGGCUAGAGUCCGGAAGAGGCGAGUGGAAUUCCUGGUGUAGCGGUGAAAUGCGCAGAUAUCAGGAGGAACACCGGUGGCGAAGGCGGCAUCCUGGACCAAUACUGACGCUGAGGAGCGAAAGCCAGGGGAGCAAACGGG